AGAGUUUGAUCCUGGCUCAGGAUGAACGCUGGCGGAGUGCCUAACACAUGCAAGUCGAGCGGCAGCGCGAGUAGUUUACUACUUGGCGGCGAGCGGCGGACGGCUGAGUAACGCGUGGGAACAUGCCCAAAGUGAGGAAUAACUGCCCGAAAGGGUAGCUAAUGCCGCAUACGAUCUUCGGAUUAAAGGAUUUAUCCGCUUUGGGAGUGGCCUGCGUACGAUUAGAUAGUUGGUGAGGUAAUGGCUCACCAAGUCUACGAUCGUUAACUGGUUUGAGAGGAUGAUCAGUCAGACUGGAACUGAGACACGGUCCAGACUCCUACGGGAGGCAGCAGUGAGGAAUCUUCCACAAUGGACGAAAGUCUGAUGGAGCAACUCCGCGUGCAGGAUGAAGGCCUUCGGGUCGUAAACUGCUUUUAUGAGUGAGGAAUAUGACGGUAACUCAUGAAUAAGGGUCGGCUAACUACGUG
rnacentral:rRNA from 1 species